rnacentral:rRNA from 1 species
GAGCUUGCUCCUUUGACGUUAGCGGCGGMCYGGUGAGUAACACGUGGAUAACCUACCUAUAAGACUGGGAUAACUUCGGGAAACCGGAGCUAAUACCGGAUAACAUAUUGAACCGCAUGGUUCAAUAGUGAAAGGCGGCUUUGCUGUCACUUAUAGAUGGAUCCGCGCCGUAUUAGCUAGUUGGUAAGGUAACGGCUUACCAAGGCAACGAUACGUAGCCGACCUGAGAGGGUGAUCGGCCACACUGGAACUGAGACACGGUCCAGACUCCUACGGGAGGCAGCAGUAGGGAAUCUUCCGCAAUGGGCGAAAGCCUGACGGAGCAACGCCGCGUGAGUGAUGAAGGUCUUCGGAUCGUAAAACUCUGUUAUCAGGGAAGAACAAAUGUGUAAGUAACUGUGCACAUCUUGACGGUACCUGAUCAGAAAGCCACGGCUAACUACGUGCCAGCAGCCGCGGUAAUACGUAGGUGGCAAGCGUUAUCCGGAAUUAUUGGGCGUAAAGCGCGCGUAGGCGGUUUUUUAAGUCUGAUGUGAAAGCCCACGGCUCAACCGUGGAGGGUCAUUGGAAACUGGAAAACUUGAGUGCAGAAGAGGAAAGUGGAAUUCCAUGUGUAGCGGUGAAAUGCGCAGAGAUAUGGAGGAACACCAGUGGCGAAGGCGACUUUCUGGUCUGUAACUGACGCUGAUGUGCGAAAGCGUGGGGAUCAAACAGGAUUAGAUACCCUGGUAGUCCACGCCGUAAACGAUGAGUGCUAAGUGUUAGGGGGUUUCCGCCCCUUAGUGCUGCAGCUAACGCAUUAAGCACUCCGCCUGGGGAGUACGACCGCAAGGUUGAAACUCAAAGGAAUUGACGGGGACCCGCACAAG